ACAAACGUCCCGGGAGCCGCGAACUGCCGGCACCGGAAGACCACACUUCCCAAGGGUCUCUGCGGCUGCGCGGACCUGGUGCGCCGCGGGCAAACCGGUCACGGCUUUGUAAGUAGCUAAACCGCCUGGGGCCGUCGACCUAGAGCCGGCCAGCUGGGACCAUGCGCAAAUUGUCCUGGGGCACACAGUCGUCCUCUGGUGAACGAUACACCUCGAAACCAAGGGACACCCUCUACUUAUAAGGGCCAUGGCGCCCGGACCAAGAAAUUACAUUUCCCAGAAAACUGCAGCCGUGCCAAGGUCUUCCGGGUCAUUCCUGCGCUCACACAAACGUUUCCCUCCGAGACAUGGGCAGCCCUUGCUGGUACCGCGCAAGUGCUCGCCGUUGCUAGCAAAGGGGCUCCUCUCAUCCCAAACCCUGCCGCUAUGCUGUUCACCUUCAGGUCUUUUUUUUUUUUUGGCACUCAUUUGCCCAAGACGAUAGCUCACAAAACGCCCUGUGGCCCGACUGUCACGACUGUAGUUCGCCAACCAAGGGCAUUUCCUGGAAAUGCAAGGGGACACGUAUCUGUGACACUAAUGGCCGUUCUGACGUGCGUUACGCCCCUGGAAGGACUUGUAAAUACUGAACUUGAGUGAGCACUGGGAGGAUGGAGACCCUCAUCCUGGGAGGAGUCACUCCUCCCGCAGCCAUCACAGCCUGACGCCCCCUCUCCCCAGAAGUGCUUCUUAGGCUUUGACCUUUCCCGGCCCACCCAAAAGGGCAAUGGACCUCUCUGUAUGCAAGCCAGAGCAGUCUACUGUUUGUGUAUAUUUGGGUUGUUUACUUUCUUUUUAACACUUAAAUGUUAAUUGACUUCAAUCAUUUUUAAAAUUAUAAAUAGUGUCGCUAUAGACUUUUUUGUACUUAGUAAGUACUGACCUGCAUGAUCUUCGUGAAGCAGUGCUUCUGUUACCAGAAAGGGGUCCGGGAUCCAGACUCCAAGAGAGAGUUCUUAGAGCUCACGCAAGAAAAAAUCCAUGGGAGAGCACAGUGCAAAGCCAAAGCAAGUGUAUUAAGAAAGUAAAGAAACAAUGGGUACUCCACUGUUAGAGCAGCAGCUUGGGCUGCUGGACUAGGGAUACUUGUAGUUAUUGCUUGAUGAUAUGCUAAACAAGGGUGGAUUAUUCAUGAGUUUUCCAGGAAAGAGGUGGGCAAUUUCAAUUUCUCGGAGCUGAGGGCUUCCCAGCUUUUUGAACCAUACAGGGUAACUUCUGAACCUUACCAUGGCAUUUGUAAAUUGUCAUGGCACUGUCUCUUAGCGUGCUAAUGCAUAUAAUUAGCAUAUAACCGAGAGGUGAAGCCAGCUGGGCUUCCGGAUCAGGUGGGGCCUUGGAGAACUUUUCGGUAUAGCUGAAGGAUUGUAAAUACACCAAUCAGUGCUCUGUGUCUAGCUAAAGGUUUGUAAACACUCCAAUCAGCAGUCUGUAAAAAUGCACUGAUCAGCGCUCUGUGUCUAGCUAAAGGUUUGUAAAUGCACCAGUCAGCACUCUGUAAAAACAGACCAAACAGCACUCUGUAAAAUAGACCAAUCAGCGCUCUGUAAAAUGGGCAAAUCAGCAGGAUGUGGGCGGGGCCAAAUAAGAAUAAAAGCUGGCCACCCGAACAACCAGCGGCAACCGCGCUGGGGUCCCCUUCCAAGGUGUGGUAUGUUUGUUCUUUUGCUCUUUGGGUCUGCACUACCUUUAUGAGCUGCAACGCUCACCCCGAAGGUCUGCAGCUUCACUCUUGAAGCCAGCGAGACCACAAACCCACUGGGAGGAAGGAACAACUCCAGACACGCCGUCUUUAGGAGCUGUAACACUCACUGUGAAGGUCUGCAGCUUCACUCCUGAAGCCAGCGAAAUCGUGAGCCCACCGGGAGGAACAAACAACUCCAGCACGACUCCAGACGCACCGCCUUUAUGAGCUGUAACACUCACCGCGAGGGUCUGCAGCUUCACUCCUGAAGCCAGCCAGACCAGGAACCCACCAGAAGGAACCAAUUCCGGACACAUAACAAGCAGCAGUGAGGACACCAAAGCCAAGCCACGCCACCCGGGCCCGCCCCCAGGACACAGAGUUUAAGGACAGUGUCUCCCGAGAUGCCAGAGGGACCUGCGUCCGCACUGCCCCAGUGUGACCCACAUACCUACCGGCCCCGACCCCGAACCGCAUGGCGUCCGCCCGAGCCCUGGCGCUGCUGGGUCUCCUGCUGCUGCCGCUGCUCGCAGAGCCCAGGAAUCUCUGCCCGCAGCUUAUGACGGUCAUUAACCAGUUUCUGACCAAGGACAAGGACACCUACAUGGACUCUGUCAACAGAUACCACCUCACGGAGCCGGAAAGAAACACAUCCUCUAAACUCAAGGACUGCGUGACCGACACAAUGACCCCCGAGGAGACACAGGCCGUCGUGCAGCAACUGGAAGAAAUCAACAACCAGUGUGCCGACAGGAUACUGAAGUAACACCAUCCAUGGGCACCUCGGGUUCCUGUCCAGGCUGCCUGUCCCACCCAUGAGAAUCUGGGCCCAGGGCCCCACCGUCCCUAGCUCCCGCCCUGCUGCUGCCUCUACUCUCUCUCCUGCUGUGCUGACUGGGGCAAGCCUGGGAACGGCUGCCCCCCACCUCCCCACCCAGGCCUGUCUCCUGCGGGACAAUGCUGCCUAAUAAACUCACCUGCAUCCAUCCA